rnacentral:rRNA from 1 species
AGAGGAUGAUCCGCCACACUGGGACUGAGACACGGCCCAGACUCCUACGGGAGGCAGCAGUGGGGAAUAUUGGACAAUGGGGGGAACCCUGAUCCAGCCAUGCCGCGUGUGUGAAGAAGGCCUUUUGGUUGUAAAGCACUUUAAGCGAGGAGGAGGCUACCUAGAUUAAUACUUUAGGAUAGUGGACGUUACUCGCAGAAUAAGCACCGGCUAACUCUGUGCCAGCAGCCGCGGUAAUACAGAGGGUGCGAGCGUUAAUCGGAUUUACUGGGCGUAAAGCGUGCGUAGGCGGCCAAUUAAGUCAAAUGUGAAAUCCCCGAGCUUAACUUGGGAAUUGCAUUCGAUACUGGUUGGCUAGAGUAUGGGAGAGGAUGGUAGAAUUCCAGGUGUAGCGGUGAAAUGCGUAGAGAUCUGGAGGAAUACCGAUGGCGAAGGCAGCCAUCUGGCCUAAUACUGACGCUGAGGUACGAAAGCAUGGGGAGCAAACAGGAUUAGAUACCCUGGUAGUCCAUGCCGUAAACGAUGUCUACUAGCCGUUGGGGCCCUUGAGGCUUUAGUGGCGCAGCUAACGCGAUAAGUAGACCGCCUGGGGAGUACGGUCGCAAGACUAAAACUCAAAUGAAUUGACGGGGGCCCGCACAAGCGGUGGAGCAUGUGGUUUAAUUCGAUGCAACGCGAAGAACCUUACCUGGCCUUGACA